AGGGCACCACCAGGAGUGGAGCCUGCGGCUUAAUUUGACUCAACACGGGGAAACUCACCCGGCCCGGACACCGUAAGGAUUGACAGAUUGAUAGCUUUUUCAUGAUUCGGUGGAUGGUGGUGCAUGGCCGUUCUUAGUUCGUGGAGCGAUUUGUCUGGUUUAUUCCGAUAACGAGCGAGACUCUAGCCUACUAAAUAGUUCGCACAUUGUCUCUGUGUGUGUGACUUCUUAGAGGGAUUUUCGGUGUUCAGCCGCACGAAAUUGAGCAAUAACAGGUCUGUGAUGCCCUUAGAUGUCCGGGGCUGCACGCGCGCUACACUGGCAAAAUCAGCGUGCUUGUCCUUCCCCGAAAGGGGUUGGUAAACUCUUGAAAAUUUGCCGUGAUUGGGAUUGGAAAUUGCAAUUAUUUUCCAUGAACGAGGAAUUCCAAGUAAGUGCGAGUCAUCAGCUCGCGUUGAUUACGUCCCUGCCCUUUGUACACACCGCCCGUCGCUGCCCGGGACUGAGCCAUUUCGAGAA
rnacentral:rRNA from 1 species